rnacentral:rRNA from 1 species
CCUACGGGUGGCAGCAGUGGGGAAUAUUGCACAAUGGGGGAAACCCUGAUGCAGCGACGCCGCGUGAGUGAAGAAGUAAUUCGUUAUGUAAAGCUCUAUCAGCAGGGAAGAAAAUGACGGUACCUGAGUAAGAAGCCCCGGCUAACUACGUGACAGCAGCCGCGGUAAUACGUAGGGGGCCAGCGUUAUCCGGAUUUACUGGGUGGAAAGGGGGCGUAGACGGCAUUGCAAGGCUGGAGGGAAAGUCGGGGGCUCAACCCCCGGACUGCUCUGGAAACUGGACGGCUGGAGUGCAGGAGAGGUAAGCGGAAUUCCUAGUGUAGCGGUGAAAUGCGUAGAUAUUAGGAGGAACACCAGUGGCGAAGGCGGCUUACUGGACUGUAACUGACGUUGAGGCUCGAAAGCGUGGGGAUCAAACAGGAUUAGAUACCCUGGUAGUC